rnacentral:lncRNA from 1 species
AAUUUCAAAAAAUCCUCGCUUUCAGCGCCAUCUUCCUUGCAGACUGGACGACCAUUUUUCGUAGUUCGCAUUUCCCCUUUCUCAUGCUUCCCCAAAUCACACACUAGUUCAGUGCCAAACACUUCUUAUUACAAAAUACUGUAGAUUCUUCUUUGUCCUUUGAACUAGACAUUAUAUUUGUAUUUCUAUCCAAAUCCAUCCAAGACUGUUCUUCCACAUUAUUUUAAUUCAAUCAGGUAAAUAUUCGGAGUUUUGUCUAUUUAUGGACAAAUUUUCAUUUUUUUGUGGAAAAAUAUACUUCUUUUGGUGAUUUUUAUAGUUAACACGGUUGACACUACUUCCUUUCAGUUUCAGGCUUGAAAGUUUGAAGUAGACUGCCAUUCCUUUAAGUUUCAAGCUUGAUACUUGCAUUAUGUUUAUCGGUUAAUUUGGUUAAUGCUCAUUAGUUGUUGAGUAGAAUGGUUAAUUACUUAAGAUCCAGUUAAUACUGGUUGGUGAUAUUUGAAUAUCCAUUUUAGUGUAAUUUUUAUUUGAAUUUUCAGUUAGUAUCAUCAAUCUCCUGAUAUUUGAAUUUUUUAAUGUAACUUGAAUAUUUGGUUAAUGCUUUCUGGAUGGUAUAAUAAAUUUGCUCGAUUAUGAAGUGUAGUCAUUGGUGUAUUUAAAUUGGCUGGAUGAGGAACUGAGAUAGACUGUAACGAACUUUGUUGGAUAAAUGAAAUUUUCUGUUUAUUUUAAUUGCCUUUCCAUUUAAAUAUGCGAAGCAAAAUUGUUUUUAUUAUUGUUGUGCUUUAAAGUUACAAUUGAGCUGAUGAUUAGGCUUUCGUGUUUCAUCAAAAUUCUUGACAUUCUUGGUUAGCUUUUCUUCGUUCUUUAUUUUAAAAUGUUAAGACAUCCUCAGAAUUUGAUCGAUCUUUGGACUAGAAGAAAUAUUUCCAUAGUUCAUUACUCAUUGGUUCAGUAACUUCUGUUUUUAACAUGAUAGAAUCAGAUUUAAGGGUUAAAGUCUUGUUCAUAGUUGGACAGGAUUGGAACUGAGUGGUCUGGAUCCGGUUAUUUAUGUGGAGCAGUUGGUUCAAUUUGCACAAUUCCGAAAGGGAAUCGGAGAGCUGGACCAUACCUGACCAUGCCCACUUUAAUCUUGGCAAUGUGGCAUUGGUUUACUUCAAUGUAUUAAAAAUGGUGUUGUUUUAUAUUUGAAUGAGAUUGCAAUCAUUUUCUUCAACUAAUUCAUCAAUUGUUUCUUACCCCUGGAAAUUGAUCUCUGUAGUUGAUCAUCUCGAGCUCCCGUGCUUAUUUCUUCAUGCACUAGCUGCUGACAACCAUCACAGUCUGAAACUGAUUGACUAUAGCCCCUCUGCUGCAAAAUCAAUUAAUAUAGACAUUACGCCCUCGGGGCAUAUCCCAAUGAUACAAAGGACAAGGGUGAGGGCUUUGCUGACAGCCGCAGUGUAAGGGUUUGAUUUAUGAAACAUGGAUUGAGACUCUUUGUGGACAUCAGUGUACAGGCAGCUCUUGUUUCCUAGCCUGUUAGGACACAUCUUGCGAUUAACCUCUCUCAUGACGAUCCAGAGCGGGACGGUGGGA